rnacentral:rRNA from 1 species
AGAGUUUGAUCAUGGCUCAGAUUGAACGCUGGCGGCAGGCCUAACACUUGCAAGUCGAGCGGAUGAAGGGAGCUUGCUCCUGGAUUCAGCGGCGGACGGGUGAGUAAUGCCUAGGAAUCUGCCUGGUAGUGGGGGAUAACGUCCGGAAACGGGCGCUAAUACCGCAUACGUCCUGAGGGAGAAAGUGGGGGAUCUUCGGACCUCACGCUAUCAGAUGAGCCUAGGUCGGAUUAGCUAGUUGGUGGGGUAAAGGCCUACCAAGGCGACGAUCCGUAACUGGUCUGAGAGGAUGAUCAGUCACACUGGAACUGAGACACGGUCCAGACUCCUACGGGAGGCAGCAGUGGGGAAUAUUGGACAAUGGGCGAAAGCCUGAUCCAGCCAUGCCGCGUGUGUGAAGAAGGUCUUCGGAUUGUAAAGCACUUUAAGUUGGGAGGAAGGGCAGUAAGUUAAUACCUUGCUGUUUUGACGUUACCAACAGAAUAAGCACCGGCUAACUUCGUGCCAGCAGCCGCGGUAAUACGAAGGGUGCAAGCGUUAAUCGGAAUUACUGGGCGUAAAGCGCGCGUAGGUGGUUCAGCAAGUUGGAUGUGAAAUCCCCGGGCUCAACCUGGGAACUGCAUCCAAAACUACUGAGCUAGAGUACGGUAGAGGGUGGUGGAAUUUCCUGUGUAGCGGUGAAAUGCGUAGAUAUAGGAAGGAACACCAGUGGCGAAGGCGACCACCUGGACUGAUACUGACACUGAGGUGCGAAAGCGUGGGGAGCAAACAGGAUUAGAUACCCUGGUAGUCCACGCCGUAAACGAUGUCGACUAGCCGUUGGGAUCCUUGAGAUCUUAGUGGCGCAGCUAACGCGAUAAGUCGACCGCCUGGGGAGUACGGCCGCAAGGUUAAAACUCAAAUGAAUUGACGGGGGCCCGCACAAGCGGUGGAGCAUGUGGUUUAGUUCGAAGCAACGCGAAGAACCUUACCUGGCCUUGACAUGCUGAGAACUUUCCAGAGAUGGAUUGGUGCCUUCGGGAACUCAGACACAGGUGCUGCAUGGCUGUCGUCAGCUCGUGUCGUGAGAUGUUGGGUUAAGUCCCGUAACGAGCGCAACCCUUGUCCUUAGUUACCAGCACCUCGGGUGGGCACUCUAAGGAGACUGCCGGUGACAAACCGGAGGAAGGUGGGGAUGACGUCGAGUCAUCAUGGCCCUUACGGCCAGGGCUACACACGUGCUACAAUGGUCGGUACAAAGGGUUGCCAAGCCGCGAGGUGGAGCUAAUCCCAUAAAACCGAUCGUAGUCCGGAUCGCAGUCUGCAACUCGACUGCGUGAAGUCGGAAUCGCUAGUAAUCGUGAAUCAGAAUGUCACGGUGAAUACGUUCCCGGGCCUUGUACACACCGCCCGUCACACCAUGGGAGUGGGUUGCUCCAGAAGUAGCUAGUCUAACCGCAAGGGGGACGGUUACCACGGAGUGAUUCAUGACUGGGGUGAAGUCGGAACAAGGUA